rnacentral:lncRNA from 1 species
GUUGGGAAGAGCCGGCGGACGAGGUUUCGGCAAGAAAUGAGGUUUCACAUUUUAAAUUUUUAGUGAUCGGCAAAUUGGUCUGCGAUUGGGCUGAUGGAUUAAUUGUGUUGACUUGAAAUAGAAGUGGUUGGUAUUUGGCCCGCAUUCAAGAUUUGCCACAAUAUUCGUGGUUGAGCAGCUAAUUUUCAAUCAAAGACUUAGAAAAGUUCGUCCUAAUUGAUGUUAAGAGAGUUUGGAAUCAG